CCCUUAGUCCAGUUCUGGACAUUCGCGGGUUUUUUCCUUCGGUGAUAUUCGAAGAAUCGCUAUCACCGGGUGAAAACUUGCAAGUGUCUUGCUUCGACUG
rnacentral:pre_miRNA from 1 species